rnacentral:rRNA from 1 species
AACGAACGCUGGCGGCGCGUCUUAAACAUGCAAGUCGUACGGGAACCCUGGUGCUUGCAUUGGGGGGAGAGUGGCGAACGGGUGAGUAACACGUGGAUAAUCUGCCUCUAGGUUUGGGAUAACUACUCGAAAGGGUAGCUAAUACCGGGUAAGAUGGUAGGUACACAAGUACCAGUCAUUAAAGGUGGGGACCGCAAGGCCUACCGCCUGGAGAUGAGUCCGCGGCUGAUUAGCUUGUUGGCGGGGUAACGCCCACAAGGCAGCGAUCAGUAGCCGGCCUGAGAGGGUGAACGGCCACACUGGGACUGAGAUACGGCCCAGACUCCUACGGGUGGCAG